CAACUACUCCCUCUAUCCCAAAUUUCUUGUCUUAGAUUUGUCUAGAUACGGAUGUAUCUAAUACUAAAAUGUGACUUGAUACAUCCGUAUCUAGACAAAUCUAAGACGAGAAUUUUGGGACGGUGGGAGUACUUU
rnacentral:pre_miRNA from 1 species